rnacentral:rRNA from 1 species
AAUGGAAUAGGACCCUGUCCUCCUAUUUUCAGUUGGUUUGCCGCGAGGACCAGGGUAAUGAUUAAUAGGGAUAGUUGGGGGCAUUAAUAUUUAAUUGUCAGAGGUGAAAUUCUUGGAUUUAUGAAAGAUUAACUUCUGCGAAAGCAUCUGCCAAGGAUGUUUUCAUUAAUCAAGAACGAAAGUUAGGGGAUCGAAGACGAUCAGAUACCGUCGUAGUCUUAACCAUAAACGAUGCCGACCAGCGAUUAGGAGACGUUGAAUACAAAACACCACCAUGCGCAUUGCGGUCGUCUUUGGUGUCGCUCACAAGGCGGCACCGGGGCGGCUUAGCUCGCAUGGCACCGGUGAAUGACUCCCUA